rnacentral:rRNA from 1 species
CGGAACGUGCCCGAUCGUGGGGGAUAACGGAGCGAAAGCUUUGCUAAUACCGCAUACGAUCUACGGAUGAAAGCAGGGGACCGCAAGGCCUUGCGCGGACGGAGCGGCCGAUGGCAGAUUAGGUAGUUGGUGGGAUAAAAGCUUACCAAGCCGACGAUCUGUAGCUGGUCUGAGAGGACGACCAGCCACACUGGGACUGAGACACGGCCCAGACUCCUACGGGAGGCAGCAGUGGGGAAUUUUGGACAAUGGGCGAAAGCCUGAUCCAGCCAUGCCGCGUGCAGGAUGAAGGCCUUCGGGUUGUAAACUGCUUUUGUACGGAACGAAAAGCCUCUUUCUAAUAAAGAGAGGUCAUGACGGUACCGUAAGAAUAAGCACCGGCUAACUACGUGCCAGCAGCCGCGGUAAUACGUAGGGUGCAAGCGUAAAUCGGAAUUACUGGGCGUAAAGCGUGCGCAGGCGGUGAUGUAAGACAGAUGUGAAAUCCCCGGGCUCAACCUGGGAACUGCAUUUGUGACUGCAUCGCUGGAGUGCGGCAGAGGGGGAUGGAAUUCCGCGU